rnacentral:lncRNA from 1 species
UCUCUCUCUAUGUCUAUAACCUGCAGUGAUGAUCAAGUUCUGGGGUGCCUUUUUAUGGAGGUGAUGAUGAUGAUGAUGAAGAAUUAAUUAAAAAAAAAAUUAGUGGAUAAUGUAUUUCAGCACCAAAGCCACAAGCAUUAGAAUGUAGGCUAUGCCUUGAUCUAUUGCAGUCCCUACAAAAAUAUAAAGACCAAUAAAAU